rnacentral:rRNA from 1 species
UACGGAGGGGGCUAGCGUUGUUCGGAAUUACUGGGCGUAAAGCGCACGUAGGCGGCUUUGUAAGUUAGAGGUGAAAGCCCAGGGCUUAACCCUGGAAUUGCCUUUAAGACUGCAUCGCUAGAAUCGUGGAGAGGUGAGUGGAAUUCCGAGUGUAGAGGUGAAAUUCGUAGAUAUUCGGAAGAACACCAGUGGCGAAGGCAAGCUCGCUGGCCUAAAAAC